rnacentral:ncRNA from 2 species
GUUUUUUGGUCGGGGUGCCCUUGGGGGCUGAGACUAUACCCGUUGAACCUGAUCCGGUUUGUUCCGGCGUAGGAAAUCCAGAUGUUGAUAAG